CCUACGGGUGGCAGCAGUCGGGAAUAUUGCGCAAUGGAGGAAACUCUGACGCAGUGACGCCGCGUGCAGGAAGAAGGUUUUCGGAUUGUAAACUGCUUUAGACAGGGAAGAAACAAGACGGUACCUGAAGAAUAAGCUCCGGCUAACUACGUGCCAGCAGCCGCGGUAAUACGUAGGGAGCGAGCGUUAGCCGGAAUUAUUGGGCGUAAAGGGUGCGUAGAUGGAAUAGUAAGUCUUUUGUAAAAAUGCUGGGCUCAACCCAGUAGGGCAAAAGAUACUGCAAAGCUAGAGUAUGACAGAGGCAAGUGGAACUACAUGUGUAGCGGUAAAAUGCGUAAAUAUAUGUAAGAACACCAGUGGCGAAGGCGGCUUGCUGGGUCGAUACUGACAUUGAGGCACGAAAGCGUGGGGAGCAAACAGGAUUAGAUACCCGUGUAGUC
rnacentral:rRNA from 1 species